rnacentral:tRNA from 1 species
UACCCCGUGGUGUAACGGUAACACAGCGCCCUUUGGAGGCGUUAUUCUUGGUUCGAAUCCAAGCGGGGUAGCCG